rnacentral:misc_RNA from 1 species
GAUGAAGAACGUAGCAAAAUGCGAUAAGUAAUGUGAAUUGCAGAAUUCAGUGAAUCAUCGAAUCUUUGAACGCACAUUGCGCCCGCCAGUAUUCUGGCGGGCAUGCCUGUUCGAGCGUCAUUUCAACCCUCAAGCACAGCUUGGUGUUGGGACUCGCGUUAAUUCGCGUUCCUCAAAUUGAUUGGCGGUCACGUCGAGCUUCCAUAGCGUAGUAGGAAAACCCUCGUUACUGGUAAUCGUCGCGGCCACGCCGUUAAACCCCAACUUCUGAAUGUUGACCUCGGAUCAGGUAGGAAUACCCGCUGAACUUAAGCAUAUCAAUAAGCGGAGGA